UUGGCUCAGGAUGAACGCUGGCGGCGUGCUUAACACAUGCAAGUCGAACGAGGUUAUUACAGUUGAAGUUUUCGGAUGGAUACAGUAUUAACCGAGUGGCGGACGGGUGAGUAACGCGUGGGGAACCUGCCCCAUUCCGGGGGAUACCAGUUGGAAACGACUGUUAAUACCGCAUAAGCGCACAGUACCGCAUGGUACGGUGUGAAAAACUCCGGUGGAAUGGGAUGGCCCCGCGUCUGAUUAGGCAGUUGGCGGGGUAACGGCCCACCAAACCGACGAUCAGUAGCCGACCUGAGAGGGUGACCGGCCACAUUGGGACUGAGACACGGCCCAAACUCCUACGGGAGGCAGCAGUGGGGAAUA
rnacentral:rRNA from 1 species